rnacentral:rRNA from 1 species
UGAGUGCGAGCGGCUACGGCCGCGAAGUGGGUGAUGUCAAGCUUCCAAGAAAAGCCCUAUACCCGUUAAGGCAUGAUGGCCUGUACCCGAAACCGACACAGGUGGGGUGGUAGAGAAUACCGAGGGGCGCGAGGUAACUCUCUCUAAGGAACUCGGCAAAAUGGCCCCGUAACUUCGGGAGAAGGGGUGCCACCGCAAGGUGGUCGCAGUGAAGAGGCCCAGGCGACUGUUUACCAAAAACACAGGUCUCCGCUAAGUCGCAAGACGAUGUAUGGGGGCUGACGCCUGCCCAGUGCCGGAAGGUUAAGGAAGCUGGUCAGCGCAAGCGAAGCUAGCGACUGAAGCCCCGGUGAACGGCGGCCGUAACGAUAACGGUCCUAAGGUAGCGAAAUUCCUUGUCGGGUAAGUUCCGACCCGCACGAAAGGCGUAACGAUCUGGGCGCUGUCUCGGAGAGAGGCUCGGCGAAAUAGAAUUGUCUGUGAAGAUGCGGACUACGUGCACCCGGACAGAAAGACCCUAUGAAGCUUUACUGUAGCUUGGUAUUGUGCCCGGGCUCUGAAUGCGCAGGAUAGGUGGGAGGCUUUGAUCCAUGGCUUGCGGGUCAUGGCGAGCCAACGGUGGGAUACCACUCUUUCAGAGCUAGGGUUCUAACGGUCACCCGUCAUCCGGGGACCGUACAGUAUCAGGUGGGCAGUUUGACUGGGGCGGUCGCCUCCUAAAAGGUAACGGAGGCGCGCAAAGGUUUGCUCAGGCUGGUUGGAAAUCAGCCGACGAGUGCAAAAGCAGAAGCAAGCUUGACUGUGAGACCUACAAGUCGAACAGGGACGAAAGUCGGCUUUAGUGAUCCGACGGUUCUGAGUGGAAGGGCCGUCGCUCAACGGAUAAAAGUUACUCUAGGAUAACAGGCUGAUCUCCCCCAAGAGUUCACAUCGACGGGGAGGUUUGGCACCUCGAUGUCGGCUCAUCGCAACCUGGGGCUGAAGUCGGUCCCAAGGGUUGGGCUGUUCGCCCAUUAAAGCGGUACGCGAGCUGGGUUCAGAACGUCGUGAGACAGUUCGGUCCAUAUCCGGUGCACGCGCAGGAACAUUGAGAGGAUUUCUCCCUAGUACGAGAGGACCGGGAGGAACGCACCUCUGGUGUGCCAGUUAUCGUGCCAACGGUAAACGCUGGGUAGCCAUGUGCGGAGUGGAUAACCGCUGAAAGCAUCUAAGUGGGAAGCCCACCUCAAGAUGAGUGUUCCCAUGGCAUAAGCCAGUAAGGUCACGGGAAGAACACCCGUUGAUAGGCUCUACGUGGAAGCCGGGUAACCGGCGGAGCGGAGGAGUACUAAUAGACCGAGGGCUUGACC